rnacentral:rRNA from 1 species
UACGUAGGGGGCACGCGUUGUCCGGAAUCAUUGGGCGUAAAGCGCGCGCAGGCGGUCCUUUAAGUCUGAUGUGAAAGCCCACGGCUCAACCGUGGAGGGUCAUUGGAAACUGGGGGACUUGAGUGCAGAAGAGGAAAGCGGAAUUCCACGUGUAGCGGUGAAAUGCGCAGAUAUCAGGAGGAACACCGGUGGCGAAGGCGGCAUCCUGGACCAACACUGACGCUGAGGAGCGAAAGCCAGGGGAGCAAACGGG